AACGAGGCCGACCUGCGGCUGAGUUACCUGCGGAGGGAUCAUUACUGAGUGUAAAAACUCCCAAACCCAUUGUGAACAUACCACUGUUGCUUCGGCGGAUACGCCCCGGGCGCGCUCUUCACAGGGCGUGCCCCGGAACCAGGCGCCCGCCGGGGGACCGAAACUCUUGUUUUCUAAGGAUCUCUGAGUGUGAUUAUUAAAUAAAUCAAAACUUUCAACAAUGGAUCUCAGAUCGGAAGA
rnacentral:misc_RNA from 1 species